GUGCUCGCUUUGGCAACACAUAUACUACAAUUGGAAUGACACAGAGAAGAUUAGCAUGGCCCCUGUGCAAGGUUGAAAUGCAAAUUCGUGAAGCGUUCUGUAUCCUU
ensembl:snRNA U6 U6 spliceosomal RNA